GCCCUCAUCCUCACGGUGCUCCAUCUCGUCCUACCCACCGCCACGAGCUCACCGUACCCGACGGGAUUGAUCUCCUCGUCCUUGCCGCCACGAGCUCACCGUACCUGACUCAAUUGAUCUGCUCGUCCCCGCCGCCACGAGCUCGCCGUCGGCAUCGCCAUACUCGUUAUCCUCGUCGUCACCGAAGUGUUUGGUCUGUUGGUUACAGCAAUGGACAAGAGGUGGAUGAGAACACCUAGAUCCGCAGAUGAGUACCGGGAAGGAGUUAAAAAGUUCGUAGAAUUUGCUUUUGCCAAAUCAGCAGAACACAAUAGGAUCCUUUGCCCAUGUAGGUUUUGCAGAAAUGCAUAUUGGUUUGAGAAACAAGAAAUAUUGGAUCAUUUGGUUUCUGAUGGGUUCAUGGCUGGCUAUACAUCAUGGAUUCAUCAUGGGGAGGGCCUAUGGUCAUCCGAUCCAGUUGUUGCCUCAAGCUCGCGAUGUGAAGAUGACAAUGCUAGCAGUGAUAAAAAUAGAUCAGAUGCUCUUGGAGGCAUUUGGGAUGUAUGACACUCGUGCUCUGGGGAGGAUGAGGAAUUGAAGGAUGAGUUAGAUAUUGAUGCUGAAACUUACUACAAGCUAGUCAAUGAUGCCAGUAAAGAGCUAUAUCCGGGCUGCAAGUUCUCAAAUCUUCAGUUUCUUGUGAGGCUCCUUAACAUAAAGAAUAUUGGGGGGGGGUCAGCGAUAAUUGUUUUGAUGAACUUCUUUCAUUAAUUAAGGAUGCCCUUCCAAAUGGUGUAGCCUUGCCUAAGAAUUUCCAUGAUGCUAAGAAAUUUGUGAAGGCCAUUGGUGUUUCUUAUGAGUGCAUCGACGCUUGCCCAAAUGAUUGCAUACUGUUUAAGAAACAAUAUGCAGAUGCUACAAUAUGUCCUGUGUGUCAUGCGAGUAGGUGGAAGAGUGAGAAAGUUGGGCUUGAUGGAAGACGAGUCCAUAGGGUCCCUCAAAAGGUGGUUCGGCACUUCCCGUUGAAGAGGAGGCUUCAAAGGCUAUUCAUGUCUUCAAGGACAUCACCACUCAUGAGGUGGCACGAGGAAGGCCGUACUAAAGAUGGUUUGCUGCGGCAUCCUGCUGACUCACCUGCUUGGAAACAUUUUGACGCAAUGCACCGAGACUUCAAAUUAGAAAGUCGAAAUGUCAGGCUAGGUCUAGCAACAGAUGGUUUCAACCCCUUUGGAAGAAUGAAUGUCUCAUAUAGCAUAUGGCCUAUAUUCUUGAUCUCAUAUAAUCUUCCCUCGUGGAUUUGCAUGAAGCAGUCCAAUUUUAUUCUCUCUGUGCUCAUCCCAGGUAAGAGAUCACCGGGGAAAGACAUGAAUGUCUAUAUGCAACUAACUGUUGAUGAUCUGCUUGAGUGUUGGACAAAAGGUUUCAUAACUUAUGAUGUUUCACGCUCCGAGAAGUUUCUCUUACGUGCUGCACUUUUGUGGACAAUAAGUGAUUGGAUUGGACGGGGUUGCUUGUCUGGAGAAUGUCUAUCUGCAUGCUCUCAAUGUCUCCUAGACACAUGUUCACUUAGGCUGAAACACGGGCACAAGACUUGCUACAUGGGCCACCGGAGAUUCUUGGGUGCUGGUCACAAGUUUAGAUUUCAAGCUAGAUCCUUCGAUGGUACCCAAGAGCUUCGUGAACCUCCUGUUCCACUCUCAGGGCAUGAAAUAUCUGAAUUGACAAAAGACAUGAAACUGUAUAUGGUAAAACUCAGAAGAACAAGAAUUCUAACAAAAGGAAGCAUAGUGGGGAUGAAGAAGGAGAGGAGAGAGACAUCUCAUGUGUGUUUAGAAAAAAGGUGUUGCUUGUUUCAGUUGCCGUAUUGGGAGACAUUGCUUCUGCGCCAUAAUCUUGACUUUAUGCAUAUACAAAAAAAUGUCUUUGACAACACAGCCAAUACACUUCUUGGUGUCGAUAAGAAAUACAAGGAUAAUCUGAAUGCACGUCUUGACCUUAGGGAAAUAGGCAUACGACCAGAUCUUCACCCAUCUGAUAUUGGGAAUAAUAGGUCAUACAUACCUCCAGCACUAUACUCCAUGGAUUCUAAGGAGAAAAAGUUGUUCUGUGAGGUCUUGAAAGGAGCUAGGUUCCCUGAUGGCUAGGCGUCCAACUUGCAUAAUAAGGUGUGUGUAGAUGAGAAGAGAUUGAUAGGGCUGAAGACUCAUGAUUGCCAUAUUAUUAUGCAAGAUCUCUUACCCUUGGCUAUUAGGGGUGUUCUUCCAGAAAGGGUAUGUAUCCCACUUAUCAAGCUUAGCAAUUAUUUCAAAAAGUUAUGCUCCAAGGUUAUUUCUGUGAGUGAGAUGCAAAGAUUGGAAGUUGAAAUUCCUGAGACCAUAUGCCUUUUGGAGAAGGUUUCCCCCCCUACCUUCUUCGACCUCAUGGUUCACUUAUCUAUCCAUCUUGCAACGGAAGUGAUGCUUGCUGGACCAGUACACUAUUGGAAUAUGUAUCCUAUAGAGAGAUGCCUGUACACUUUGAAAAGUAUGGUUCGAACUCAAAGUCACCCAGAAGGAGCAAUAGCCGAAGGCUUGCUGUUUAAUGAAAGUCUGACAUUUUGCUCACAGAACUUGCAUGGUUGUGAAACCAAAUUGUCUCGAGUAGGCCGUCACAGUGAUAGCACUGCCUAUAAUGCCUCAUCUGAUCAGCUUACAUACUUGAGGAUUAUUGGACGUCCUUUGUCAGGUUCUUGUGCUAUGGAACUAGACAACAUAUCUUGGAUCCAGGCACAACGAUAUGUGCUGAUCAACUAUCCUAAAAUUAGUUCAUAUGCUGAAAUGCACCUCCUUAUCUUAUCUGCCAAUAAACACAUAAAGAAACGUGAUAUUGAAUGCAUCCAUCAUAGGGACUUCCACAAUUGGUUUCCAGAUUAUGUUCAAAAAUUAAUUGAUACAGGUAAGGAGGUUCCAAAAGAAAUUAAAAUUCUAGCACAAAAACCUUAUAGGAUGGUGAAGAAGUACAACAGCUAUUCCUUGAAUGGGUGUACUUUCCACACAAGGAGCUUUGCUGAAGGAAAAGUUACACAAUGUGAUGGCGUAGCAAUGAUUGCAAAGACUUCGAGUUUCUCAAGCACAAGAGAUGAUAAUCCAUCUAUAGGAGAUGUUGCAUAUUACGGCCGCAUAACGGAAAUAAUUGAACUAAAUUAUUUGAAUACUGGAUACGUGGUGUUAUUCAAGUGUGAUUGGGUUGAUAGUGUUCAGGGCAGGGGAUUUCGAGUGGACAAAUAUGGGAUAAAAGAAGUGAACCAUUUACUUAAUAGUGGAUCCAAUGCCUUUCAUGAGCCAUUUAUCCUAGCAACACAAGCUACCCAAGUUUAUUAUGUGCAAAAUCCUAUAGAGAAGGACUGGCAUGCUGUGGUUGAUUCUCCUCCAAGGGACUUCUUUGAUAUGGAGGCUACAAAAUUUCAUUUGCCUAUUGAAAAUGAUGUUGCUAUGCCUAGUCUUGACGGGGAGGAUACAAACUGGACUAGGAAUGAUAUAGAUGGAAUUAUAGUUGAUAAUCCUCCAAGGAAGGAUGAGCCGAAAAAGAACAAGAGGCAGCGGAGAAAGGUUUGAGGAUGACUAUGGGAGAUUGAGGGGACCUAGGAACUUUUCUCUGAUCAUGGAGUCACUAGGGAGUAAAGAUGCUGAGAUGAAGGGAAAUCUUCCUGCAACAGUUUUAAACAGUCAGGAUGCAAAGGAUGGGAAAAUAAAUGAAGAAAUUGAUGACUAUAGUGACUCUGAAGAUCAAUAUGACACUGAAAUGGACAAUGAUCUAUCAAGUUUGAACAAUAUUGAUGGCAUGGAAAAACCAGGCAAGUUCUUUUAAUUUAUAAUAAUUCUUUUAGAUAACAUUGAUGUACAUCUCUUUGAUUUUGCACAUGAAAAUCAGACCAAAUGUUGACUAUUCUAUAUUGUUUUUAUGAAGCUGAAAAAAAAAAGUAAAAGGGGUCCAACCAGAAUGGAAUCAUUAUGGAAAGAUAGUGAUGCAGACAAUAAAAUAAAUCUGAAGGUUAAUCGUUUUGGUCAGCCUUGUGGUCUGAAGACAUGUAAAUUAACAAGCUUCAUAGGCACUCUUGUUAAGGGAAAAGAGAUCUCAUUGGCAGCUAACAAUUGGAGUAGAGUACCAAAGUCCGAUAAAGAAAAGUUGUGGCUGACUAUUUAGGCUUUCUUUAAUGUUGAUGAAUCUUUCAAACCUUGGGUGUUGAAAUCUGCAAGCAAAAAAUGGAAAGAUUUUAAGGUUGUUUUGAAGAGGAAAUAUUUCAAUCCUAAAUUAACAAGAAAACAAAAUAUCUGUAAUGGUUGUGGCAAAAGGUUACCAGGUCCACAAUGGGAGUGGCUGGUAAGGCAUUGGAAGACAAGUGCAUCACAGGCUAAAUGUGAGAAAAAUAAAGCCACUCAUGCAAUUCAGCUCAAUGGGACUCACACUAGUGGAUCUAGAAGCUUUGCUGUCACACUUGAUCAAUUGGAGAUGGAAGAAGGUAGACAAGUUGAGCGUGCUGAACUGUACAUUGUUACACAUACAAAGAAAAAUGGCCAGCCAGUUGAUAAAUAUAGUGGUGAUAAUAUUAAUGAAAUCAGAAGACAGCUUGCUACAAAUCCUUCACUUGUAGGUGAGGAAGCUCGUGAUGGGGAUGUUUACUCAGGGCUCUUUCCUAAAGAAAGGAGCGGAAGGUGGCGAGGACUUGGUUUAUUAGUAGGUGGAUGAGCUUCAAUGGAACUUGCUGAAGUGAAGGCUGAACUGCAAGAAAGCAAAAAUGAAAAUUUGAGGCUCUAGAGUGUAAUCAAGACAUUAGAGAAGAAUCAGUCUUCAUUGGAGGACAAGCACAAACAAGCACAAUGAACUGAAAGCUAUGCUAUUAGCAUCUCAAGGUCAUGAAAAAGCAGGGAGCAAUCACAAAAUUGUACAAGAACCCAAGGAGGAUCUGGAGGAUAUGGUGGCUAUUAACAAUGAAGAAAAAGAAACUCCAACUUCAUCUAGAGCUAGCAAGAGAUCCAAAGUCAAAACUGAGCUUGUGGAAAAGGUGAUUGUGUCAACUCAACAAAUACCAAAGAAAGGCCAGCCAACCCAGCAAGAGGAGAAAGCUGCUCUUAGUCUUCAGCAGAACAGGGAGGACACUAUUGCAGAUAAAAAUCUGCAUAAGAAGCAAAGGAAAUUUCAAACCCCUCUUCCAAAGGGUGGAUUGACUGUUUUCAAGCGUGGUUUGGAGGUUGGUUUGAUUUCCCCACAGAGCACUAGUAUGGUGGCAUUUGCAACUAUUCAAGCAACUGAUAGCAAAUCUAAGGCAACAGAUGGUCAACCCCUUGGUGAUUGCGUUGAGGUCCUUAUCAACACUGUGUUUUCUAAAACCACCUUGCUACCCCGCUCACAUGGAAAUAUUAGCAAGCUUUCAAACGCAGUUGGAAGAUGCAUUCAAUGGCCACGAAAAAAUGUUGAGCCACUCAAUGAUGGUAGUGGUGAUGGGCCUACUCCAAAGGUAUCUGUCAAUGGAGCAAUCAAGGAAAAUUCUAGCAAGAGAAGGAAGGUGAAAAAUAGCAGCUCAAUCACCUCACCUGCAAUUUGCACAUAACAACUCUGGUGUUGACAGCAAGAUAAGUAAGAACAUCUUUGGUUGUACUACUCAUCAAUGUUAAGGCUCCGUUGAUUCAUCGCCUCUACCGUUGCUGUUAAUCUAUUAUGCAAAAACUUGUAAAUCUGCCACAGCUUAGAACAUGAGCAUGACAAAUGUGAAGAUUCUUUCAUGUCUAAAUAAAUUUGGUUGUACUCUGAGUUGUUGGACAUCCAAGAGUCUUGUUCAACUGUGGAGUUCAUUAUGCAAUUAAAGACUGAAAUAAUAUUUCUGUUAUGAGUAA